UGGGGAAUAUUGGACAAUGGGCGAAAGCCUGAUCCAGCCAUGCCGCGUGUGUGAAGAAGGUCUUCGGAUUGUAAAGCACUUUAAGUUGGGAGGAAGGGCAUUAACCUAAUACGUUAGUGUUUUGACGUUACCGACAGAAUAAGCACCGGCUAACUCUGUGCCAGCAGCCGCGGUAAUACAGAGGGUGCAAGCGUUAAUCGGAAUUACUGGGCGUAAAGCGCGCGUAGGUGGUUUGUUAAGUUGGAUGUGACAUCCCCGUGCUCAACCUUGGAACUGCAUUCAAAACUGACUGACUAGAGUAUGGUAGAGGGUGGUGGAAUUUCCUGUGUAGCGGUGAAAUGCGUAGAUAUAGGAAGGAACACCAGUGGCGAAGGCGACCACCUGGACUAAUACUGACACUGAGGUGCGAAAGCGUGGGGAGCAAACA
rnacentral:rRNA from 1 species